CUCCUACGGGAGGCAGCAGUGGGGAAUAUUGGACAAUGGGGGGAACCCUGAUCCAGCCAUGCCGCGUGUGUGAAGAAGGCCUUUUGGUUGUAAAGCACUUUAAGUGGGGAGGAGGCUUACUUGGUUAAUACCUGGGGUGAGUGGACGUUACCCACAGAAUAAGCACCGGCUAACUCUGUGCCAGCAGCCGCGGUAAUACAGAGGGUGCGAGCGUUAAUCGGAUUUACUGGGCGUAAAGCGCGCGUAGGUGGUUAAUUAAGUCAAAUGUGAAAUCCCCGAGCUUAACUUGGGAAUUGCAUUCGAUACUGGUUAGCUAGAGUAUGGGAGAGGAUGGUAGAAUUCCCGGUGUAGCGGUGAAAUGCGUAGAGAUCCGGAGGAAUCCCGA
rnacentral:rRNA from 1 species